rnacentral:rRNA from 1 species
GACGAACGCUGGCGGCGUGCUUAACACAUGCAAGUCGAACGGAAAGGCCCUGCUUUUGUGGGGUGCUCGAGUGGCGAACGGGUGAGUAACACGUGAGUAACCUGCCCUUGACUUUGGGAUAACUUCAGGAAACUGGGGCUAAUACCGGAUAGGAGCUCCUGCUGCAUGGUGGGGGUUGGAAAGUUUCGGCGGUUGGGGAUGGACUCGCGGCUUAUCAGCUUGUUGGUGGGGUAGUGGCUUACCAAGGCUUUGACGGGUAGCCGGCCUGAGAGGGGGACCGGCCACAUGGGGACUGAGAGACGGCCCAGACUCCUACGGGAGGCAGCAGUGGGGAAUAUUGCACAAUGGGCGGAAGCCUGAGGCAGCAACGCCGCGUGCGGGAUGACGUCCUUCGGGUUGUAAACCGCUUUCGCCUGUGACGAAGCGUGAGUGACGGUAAUGGGUAAAGAAGCACCGGCUAACUACGUG